rnacentral:rRNA from 1 species
GUAGGGAAUAUUGGUCAAUGGACGAAAGUCUGAACCAGCCAUUCGGCGUGCAGGAAGAAGAUUCUAUGGAUUGUAAACUGCUUUUAGCAGAGAAGAAACGCCUUCAUUGAUGAGGGUUUGACGGUAUCUGCGGAGUAAGCACAGGCUAACUCCGUGCCAGCAGCCGCGGUAAUACGGGGGGUGCAAGCGUUAUCCGGAAUCACAGGGUUUAAAGGGUGCGUAGUCGGGAAAUUAAGUCAGUGGUGAAAGUCUGUUGCAUAACGAUAGAAUUGCCGUUGAUACUGAGUUUCUUGAAUGUGGUUGAGGUUAGCGGAAUGUGACAUGUAGCGGUGAAAUGCAUAGAUAUGUCAUGGAACACCAAUUGCGAAGGCAGCUAGCUGUGCCUUGGAUGACGCUGAGGCACGAAAGCGUGGGGAGCGAACAGGAUUAGAUACCCUAGUAGUCC